CUUGGUCAUUUAGAGGAAGUAAAAGUCGUAACAAGGUUUCCGUAGGUGAACCUGCGGAAGGAUCAUUACAGAGAUCAUGCCCUUCGGGGUAGACCUCCCACCCUUUGUUAUACCAACGAAUGUUGCUUUGGCGAGCCGCCCUAGGCCGUCGGCCUCGGCUGACGCGUGCUCGCCAGAGACCCCAAACUCUGUAUCAGUGUCGUCUGAGUACUAUAUAAUAGUUAAAACUUUCAACAACGGAUCUCUUGGUUCUGGCAUCGAUGAAGAACGCGGCGAAAUGCGAUAAGUAAUGUGAAUUGCAGAAUUCAGUGAAUCAUCGAAUCUUUGAACGCACAUUGCGCCCCUUGGUAUUCCGGGGGGCAUGCCUGUUCGAGCGUCAUUUCAACCCUCAAGCUCUGCUUGGUCUUGGGCCCUGCCGGCAACGGCUGGCCUCAAAAGUAGUGGCGGCGCCAUCGUGCUCUCAGCGUAGUAAUUCUUCUCGCUGUUGGGUCCCGGUGGACGCUGGCCAGCAACCCCCCAUUUCUAAUGUUGACCUCGGAUCAGGUAGGGAUACCCGCUGAACUUAAGCAUAUCAAUAAGCGGAGGA
rnacentral:rRNA from 1 species